AAACAUAGAAAAGGUAAUGUCCUGCAUUACAAGUUAUGAUGGCUGUGAUAUCACUAGUUAAUAGAAAUGUUUCAGCUCUUUUAUAAUAUUAUGGGGCCAGAUACAUUUGUGCUCUAUCCGUGACUGAAACAUUGUGAUGUGACACAUGACUGUAAAUAAAAUAAUGAUAAAUUGUGAUAAGUACUUUAACAGAAUAAAACACAGAUUACUCAAAAAAUAACAGGGUAAGGAAUUUUACUUUUUUAUAGGAUGAAGAAGCAGAGCUUCUCUAAGAAGGUAGUCGUUAUACUAAGACCUAAAUGAUGAAGAAGGUGCUAAUUAUACAAAUCAAGGGGCAUUCUACCCAGAAGAAAGGAUGUGCACAGUCCUGGGACCGAAAAAAAUUUGAUGCAUAGAAACCACAAUGGCUAGAAUGCAAGUCCAGGCUACCGGAACAGCCUCUGUCUGAAACAGGACUGAUACUCAUAGCAGACACAAAGAGAAGCCAUAGCACAAUAUGCAUUGCCUCUGAAAGCUUCUGUUUAGAAGGAACAGACAUUAGUUCUGCUUAUAUUUCAUUAUAUAUUUCACUGGACAAACUUGAUGUCAAAAAGGCAGCAGACUAUCAGAGGGAAUAAUGGAGUGACUAUGAAGCAACCGAACUCUGAUGCCCUUAACUGACCCAGCAGCCAAGAACAUCUGAAGAGGCGGAGAACAAACGAGAUAAGUGAUUUCUUAAGGAGGCCGAGAAGAAGGAAGUGAUUCCAGAAAGAUAUCACCACUCCUCAGUUAUGAAACCCAAGUGAGACCACCAUAACCUGACUUCCAGCCUAGAGCUAUCUCUGAUUCAGUAAAUCUCUUCGCAGCAGCAUAUACACUGGGAACCGGAAUUCUCACAGGUAAGAAAAUCCUUCAAGCUCCAAGUAAAUGAAAUAGAAAAUAUGCAAGUUCAAUAAGUGACAGGAUAAUGAAGAAACAGUUGUAUUCUGUCUAUACUAACAUAACUUAGCAGCUUUCCAAAGUGCUGGUGAAACGGUGGCAAGGUUCUGGAAUAAAAAAUGAAUAUUUUUACAAGACUAAAAUAUGUAUGGCCUGAACUAAAAAACAGCACCCCAACUCCCAUAAAAAAGAGGGAAUUUCAUACAAGGUGAGUAGGGUCAAAGUGGGGGUGAAAUGACAGAUUGUGCGGUCAACUACUUAUUUCUACUUAAGGAUGGCCUUACUACUCCCUCUCCAAAACCAAACCUGUUCAGUGUAUCAGUAAAGCUAAAUUGAUCUGAGUUGCUAUGGGAACACAGAAAGGAGUUCCUGGAAAUGUAAUAAUAAUUGCUGUCAUCUAAAAGGGCAGUAACUUUCUACUUCAA